UACGAAGGGUGCAAACGUUGCUCGGAAUUAUUGGGCGUAAAGCGCACGUAGGCGGCUUAGCAAGUCGGAAGUGAAAUCCCUCGGCUCAACCAAGGAAGUGCUUUCGAAACUGCUGAGCUUGAGUACGAAAGAGGAUCGCGGAAUUCCCGGUGUAGUGGUGAAAUGCGUAGAUAUCGGGAGGAACACCAGUGGCGAAGGCGGCUUCCUGGCCUGUUCUUGACGCUGAGGCGCGAAAGCGUGGGGAGCGAACAGG
rnacentral:rRNA from 1 species